UACGAAGGGGGCUAGCGUUGUUCGGAAUUACUGGGCGUAAAGCGCGCGCAGGCGGUCUUCCAAGUCAGUGGUGAAAGCCCGGAGCUCAACUCCGGAACUGCCAUUGAAACUGUGAGACUUGAGUACGAGAGAGGUGAGUGGAAUUCCCAGUGUAGAGGUGAAAUUCGUAGAUAUUGGGAAGAACACCGGUGGCGAAGGCGGCGAUCUGGGUAGAUACUGACGCUGAGGUGCGAAAGCGUGGGGAGCAAACAG
rnacentral:rRNA from 1 species